rnacentral:rRNA from 1 species
UACGUAGGGGGCAAGCGUUGUCCGGAAUCAUUGGGCGUAAAGCGCGUGUAGGCGGCUUGAUAAGUCUGCUCUGAAAGCCCGGGGCUCAACCCCGGGAGGCGGGUGGAUACUGUCGAGCUCGAGUCCGGAAGAGGCGAGUGGAAUUCCUGGUGUAGCGGUGAAAUGCGCAGAUAUCAGGAGGAACACCGAUGGCGAAGGCAGCUCGCUGGGACGGUACUGACGCUGAGACGCGAAAGCGUGGGGAGCAAACAGG